rnacentral:rRNA from 1 species
UACGUAGGGGGCAAGCGUUGUCCGGAAUUACUGGGCGUAAAGCGUGCGCAGGCGGUUGUGCAAGACAGAUGUGAAAUCCCCGGGCUUAACCUGGGAACUGCAUUUGUGACUGCACGGCUAGAGUGUGUCAGAGGGGGGUAGAAUUCCACGUGUAGCAGUGAAAUGCGUAGAUAUGUGGAGGAAUACCGAUGGCGAAGGCAGCCCCCUGGGAUAACACUGACGCUCAUGCACGAAAGCGUGGGGAGCAAACAGG